AGGAUAACGCGAAUGACAGCAAUGUCAUUCAUAUUUUCACCACAAGAUGAUACAAUGUAAUGUUAUCUGAUACUACCAGUUCAACUUUUAAAAUACAGAGUGAACUGCAAUGGUAAGAGGGAUCUCUAAGAAUGUUCAGGUGUUCCAAAAAAACAAUACAUGACUGUGAGAGCACUAUUUGUCCUCUUGCUCUGUCUGUGGCAGGUGCACUGCAGGUCAUCUCGAUUGGAUGGAAAGGUUAGGGCAGUAGAGUGACUCAGUCUUGAGGAUGAUGAGUGUUAACGAGCUCCACAAGAUCACAAAGUGGUGUGCAUAAGCCUCGUGACUCGUUGGUACAGCUGCUGGACAACUGUCAUGAGAUUCCUAAAAUGGUUUGUCAAAAGAGCACAAAAGACAUGAUCUGUGAGUGGUGCCAUACACAGCAAACUGUUCAAGCGAGGAAACAUAUGCCAACACACACAUGUAAAAAACACACAUAAAACAGAGGACAUGCCACUACCUCAGAUUGUUGCAAAUUACCAACAGAUGAACAGAUAAGACAUUAUUAACACACACCAUGAUUCAUGACUAAGACAUUUUUGCCCAUCACACAAAUACAAACACUCGGGCAAACACACUGAAAUACACACUCACUCACACCUGUACACACACACACUCACUCAUACCUGUACACACACAUACUCACACACACACAUGUACACACACACAUGUACACACACAUACUCACCGGGUGCUAAUGGAGACACAGUUGUUGGGGUUGAAGCAGAAGAGCGAAGCCACGCAGUAGACACAGCCCAACAACAUGGACAGCAGCCGUCUCUUUAAAGACAUCUUUAAUUCAUAGUCCAAACGAUUCUCAACUUCAGCGUUCAACUUCAGAGUUCAAGCCCAAGACAGGAGAUUUGGUGGUGGUGGUGAAUCCUUGUGGAAAAUGGCCCCAUCAUCCUGAAUGUCUGCACCAGGGACUCUUCGAGGGGACUGGGAUGACAGCCAGAUAGCAGGCUGGACAAGAGUCAGAUGCAGAGGAACCACAGCUGCAGACGAGAGAGGCGGGGAGAUACUUUGCCCUCUCAGGAGCAAAGGCACAUCGGGAGUGGAUGAGUACCCUCUGAAUGUUCUACCCUUUUUUCCAUAACUUUUUAAUUAACAGCACUUUUUAUUAUUGUUUUACAAGGAGUUUGGCAGAGAAAGAUAUUAACAAGAAACAUUUACAGAAGUCAAUACAAAUAGGAAAAGGGGUCUUUGGAUUCAAAUGUCAAUAUACCACAGCAGGAGUGUAUGUUGGUGGAUAUAAUUGAUUUGUUUUGAGGGGGUGGGGAUCUCACAGAUAUACAAGACUUAGAGCUUGUAAAUGACUCAAUGGCAGCUUACAAUAAGACAUGCUGGAUAGGAGAGUCGGGUGGCAACCUCACGGCCAUGAUGCCUGGUGUGAGACCUAUACCAACCCCUGUUGUCUGCACCUCAAUGACACCAGAAAUUAUGGGAUGGAUCCUGAGUGUGGCCUGUCUCCUCAUUAUCUCAACCAACCUGCUGGUAGCUGCUGCUCUGUUUCAGCUAAUGUGCAGGAAGGGCAGUCAGAGCUGGUGCUUCGUUAUCAACCUGGCCAUGCCAGAUACCUUGAUGUCCCUAACAACAGGGUUUCAUUUCAAUUCAGGGGAUGAACAGACUCGAUUUGUGAAUUAUUGAUCAACUGGAUAAGGAACAUGAUAUAUUUGUACACUAAUAAUCUAAAUACAGUAUCAUAUAGUAUGUUUGUUAUUCUCCUCUGCUCUGCAGGCAUGGCGCGGCAGCUACAGCAGAGAAACUUCGACAGCAGCAGCCUUUGCACCUUCUUCUCUGUCAUCUGUCCUCGGGGCUUCAUUGUGGUGUUCUGUGCUGGCUUCUUCCCCAUCCUCUCUGUCUUCAACUACUUCUACCUGGACAUCCUGAAGAUUGCCUGCGGCCACCAGAUGCAGAUCCGUCAGGGCAGCUAAAGGCUUCCACAGCGCAGCCACUACUGGGGCCACGCCAAGGCCCUGAGGACUGUGGCUCUGCUGGUGGUCUGUUUCACCAUCUGCUGGUGCCGUUUGUGGUGUGUGUGGUGCAGGUGCUGUGUGAGGGCUGUGAGUUGUACCAGGUGCUAGAGAACGACCUGUAGCUGCUGGGGCUGUCCAACCCCCUCAUCAACCCUCUGGUGUACGCCUGCUGGCAGAGGGAUGUGUGGCUGAAGAUCGGGGCACUCAUCUCCGUUAAGGACAGGUUCAGGAACACAGCCGUGUUAGAGGCUAGUGAGAGAUGUCAGACAGAGCUGCGUAUACUGCGUACACUUAUACUGUUAUAUCUGUGGACAAUGCCCUGAGCCUGGACCCCAUCUUCCCCCGGUCACCACUGAACAGGGCCACACUGUAUCGCUUUCUGCCUCAACCACCUUGUAAAUGACUUAAACAUUUUGAGAACAACUCGUUGAGGUUGAAUAAACCAAUUUGAACACUUACUGUGGCAGCUUAGAGCUUUCUCUAUUUCUGGUAGAAACGGUUCACGUCACACGUCUGGCGACAGCAACCAACUGCCAAGAACAACCAAAAGUGGAAAAAUAACAGAGUGAGAUGGAUGUGGAGACAUCAUGAAACCUAUUUGCUGUUUUUCCUCUACUACCCUAAUUGAUAUGAUCUCUGCAAAGAAUGGACUUUGUCCCUCUGCAUUCCCACCCAGCUAGCACAUAAUGCUCUGAUCGCUAUAUGUUUGUUAGAGCAGGAUUGUUCUGGGAAUGGUGCAGGAUAGUUACUCGGUUUUGGAACAUUCUCAGUACAUUGAACUUGACAAAAUAAUGUUAUUUUUUGGGUAUUUCAUUACUUUAACAGAACGUUUCCUAAAAGUUCAAACUUGGUUACAUUUAAUUACAUUUUUUGUUAAUGUUCUAGGAACCUUUUCCAACUGGAUUGACAUUGGGAAUAUCAUCAAAUUGUUCCGAGAAUGUUAAGAAACAAUGUUCUCCUGUGGGAAUUUCAGUACUGCAGCAUAAUGUUUUCUGUAGGUUUACACAUGGUUCAAUUUUCUCAGAACACUACAAAUAUUUUCCAUAAAAACCCAAAACUUGGCCACACCUGAUCUUACUAAGUGCUUGUUUCAUUUGAAAUGGGGUCUGUUUGAAUAAACUAAAAUUAACAGCUUUGUAUGAGUAAAAAAAACAUGGCAUCAUGGUGGAUAGAGAACAGAAGAUCAUAGCUUUAAAUCUCAUUGACACAGUGCCACAUGAUUAAUGCCUAAGCAAAUUCAAUUCCAUGUGUCCUAUCUGUGCUUGGAGAUCAAAACAGUUAAACUAAGCUAGCAGUGUUAUUAAAAGUAUUAUUGAAACAUUCAGUGAAAGUUUUAAGGAAAAUAAAAUAACCUAGAAUUUCUGUUCUCAGAACGUUAAUAAAAUCUCCCAGGAACACUUUUAGGGAACCAUAGUAAAACGUCCUCAGAACCUCCCUGCAACAUUAAAAUGUAUGUUCCCAGAGCAGCCAUCGCCUGUAUUGUGGGAGGCAAUAUUGUCAACCAAUCAUUAGGAUGCUUUUGCUUGACCCACGCGAACGUGACCAAUGUCAUGACUGAAACAGGAGCCAACUUUGCUGCAAUUCAUGUAUACAGUGGAUAUGUACAAAUUACUGUGAUAUUUGAGUCUCUCUCUCUCACCAAUUGAGUGUACAAUGUACAAACAUAUAUAUUUUCAGUUUGAGUGUUUUGAUAUAUGAUUUAUUUUUUAUGUUUAGUUCAACAUUAUAAAGAAAAACUUUUAUAAACAAUGACAACACC